GACCCGAUGGCACAGCUGGUUAGUGCGUCUGCCCAUUUUCAACCCAUGCCUCGCUUGUGCGCAGAAGACCCUCGUUCGAACCGGGGUCGGGUCA